UUCCAGACUCCUACGGGAGGCAGCAGUGGGGAAUAUUGCACAAUGGGGGAAACCCUGAUGCAGCGACGCCGCGUGAGUGAAGAAGUAUUUCGGUAUGUAAAGCUCUAUCAGCAGGGAAGAAAAUGACGGUACCUGACUAAGAAGCCCCGGCUAACUACGUGCCAGCAGCCGCGGUAAUACGUAGGGGGCAAGCGUUAUCCGGAUUUACUGGGUGUAAAGGGAGCGUAGGUGGCAUGGUAAGCCAGAAGUGAAAACCCGGGGCUCAACCCCGCGGAUUGCUUUUGGAACUAUCAGGCUGGAGUGCUGGAGGGGUAAGCGGAAUUCCUGGUGUAGCGGAGAAAUGCGUAGAUAUCAGGAGGAACACCGGCGGCGAAGGCGGCCUGCUGGACCGUGACUGACGUUGAGGCUCGAGAGCGUGGGGAGCAAACAGGAUUAGAUACCCUAGUA
rnacentral:rRNA from 1 species